UACGAAGGGGGCUAGCGUUGCUCGGAAUCACUGGGCGUAAAGGGUGCGUAGGCGGAUUGCUAAGUCAGGGGUGAAAUCCUGGAGCUCAACUCCAGAACUGCCUUUGAUACUGGCGAUCUUGAGUCCGGGAGAGGUGAGUGGAACUGCGAGUGUAGAGGUGAAAUUCGUAGAUAUUCGCAAGAACACCAGUGGCGAAGGCGGCUCACUGGCCCGGUACUGACGCUGAGGUGCGAAAGCGUGGGGAGCAAACAGG
rnacentral:rRNA from 1 species